AUUUAUCAGUAAUUUCUAAUUUUUUUUUGCGCAGAUGUUCACUAUAUCCACAGCUGCAACAAACCCACCAAUUUUUAUUCAAUAAAACAAGAUGAUAAUUCUCCAUGAGCUAAUAUAAUGCAGCAGAUGUUCAUCAAUGGAUAUAACCCUUAACCUGUUCGACGAAAUGUCCCAAUGAACACGUUGGCACAAAUGAGCUCAUCACAAGACGAAAUGUCCCAAUGAACACGUUGGCACAAAUGAGCUCAUCACAAGCCUUAUUUUCGACUUAGUAACUUAGCUUGAGUUUCUACAUUAAUAUGCAGCUUGAACUUACUCAAGCAGUCUAGCGUUACAGAAUCAUCUUUAACAGAUGAAGAUGGCGCUUCGAGCAUUCACUGCGCCUCUGCCGUUCAAGAACUAUGAUCUCUUUGGCAAUGGUUCUUUGAGUAUUAGUUGGUGUCCCGCACGCAUUGCGGGGCGAUGGCCGAAUACUUCUUAAUCAAUUAAAGAAACACUAUUAUAUUUUUGCUAGAAAAAAACUAAAACGAUGAUAAGACCGUAAUUUUGAGCUCAUGGCAAAACUGUAAUUUUUCAGGACUAAUGAGCGAGUGUUAGGCAGCUCCUUUAGACGAAAAAAAAAAAAAUAAAUCGAGUCAACCAAUUAAAAAAAAACUUUUAUAGUUUUGCUAGAAAAAUUAAAACGAUGGGGAAAACGUAACUUUGAACUGAGGGGGAAAUCAUAAUUUUGUUACAGGGAUAAAAUCGUAUAUUCCAUGGACCAAUGGGGUUGAGGGCAAAAUCAUAACUUGGCUGUGUGAGAAGAAAAAUGCAAUAUCUUCAAUCAGAUCUGUACGAGUGACAGGAAGAAGUCAGCUACUGCAUCUCUAUUGAUGCUAUUUGAAGUUGAAGAACAAUCAUCUUGCUUGAUGUAAGUCAUGGUAAAUUCGAAGGUCGAAGAGAAUUUGUUUGCUCUUGGUGAACGAAAGGAAGGCUUCUCCGACCAUCUCUGGCGACCAUACAAGGACGCCGGUGACAAACUGGAGUACACCAUACUGUUGUGUAAUGUGUCGCUACACGCUAAUCAUUUCUUCACUUUGCCAGCGAUUCUUGCCUUCAGCAGCAGCGACACCGGUGUUUGUUACACUCUCAAUCAGGAUGAGUCAGAGAUUGGCGUUUGAAUUGCCAUCACGAUUGAUUGUAACUGAAUCGUUUGGAUGUGUUAUUGUUGAAGAAAAGGACUUCAUUGCUGAAAAUAUCAUAUUUGAGAACGCCGAGUUUAGGAGGUUAUGAGCAACUUUUAACAUGUAUGCCCCAUUUCACCAACUCCAUUUUAGCUAUAAAUUUUGAUAUUAUACAAUUGGUUUUGUGUCUGCUGUUCUGUAUCUGCUUGGAUUUUAAUUAUUUUCCCUUUCAUAAUCCAACAUGCACCCUCUUAUCAUUGUUAUCCUUACUUUGUAAAUAACUAGAGUUUGUAAGAUACUUAUAUAUCUGACUAUUCGA